GCAGGCAGCGGGGCAUCACCUCACAAACUUUGUGGGGAGCUCAGGACUUUGAUCGCCAACAUGCUCCUUAUUAUGCUGAGGCAAAUUCAUUUGGGAAACCUCAGAAUAGAGGAUGGGAAACCAUGAACAUGGUUAAUUAUCCAAGUGGUGCUCUAUUGGCGAAGGACAAGACUGUGCAUCCAGGGUCAACAUGUGUUCCAAGGGAUGCUGAUGCAGCAACA
rnacentral:lncRNA from 1 species